GACGAACGCUGGCGGCGUGCUUAACACAUGCAAGUCGAACGGAAAGGCCCCUUUGGGGGUACUCGAGUGGCGAACGGGUGAGUAACACGUGAGUAACCUGCCCUUGACUUCGGGAUAACUUCAGGAAACUGGGGCUAAUACCGGAUAGGAAUCCUUGCUGCAUGGUGGGGGUUGGAAAGCUUCGGCGGUUUUGGAUGGACUCGCGGCUUAUCAGCUUGUUGGUGGGGUAGUGGCUUACCAAGGCUUUGACGGGUAGCCGGCCUGAGAGGGCGACCGGCCACAUUGGGACUGAGAUACGGCCCAGACUCCUACGGGAGGCAGCAGUGGGGAAUAUUGCACAACGGGCGGAAGCCUGAUGCAGCAACGCCGCGUGCGGGAUGACGGCCUUCGGGUUGUAAACCGCUUUCAGCAGGGGCGAAGCUUGUGGUGACGGUACCUGCAGAAGAAGCACCGGCUAACUACGUG
rnacentral:rRNA from 1 species